GACGAACGCUGGCGGCGUGCUUAACACAUGCAAGUCGAACGGAAAGGCCCUGCUUUUGUGGGGUGCUCGAGUGGCGAACGGGUGAGUAACACGUGAGUAACCUGCCCUUGACUUUGGGAUAACUUCAGGAAACUGGGGCUAAUACCGGAUAGGAGCUCCUGCUGCAUGGUGGGGGUUGGAAAGUUUCGGCGGUUGGGGAUGGACUCGCGGCUUAUCAGCUUGUUGGUGGGGUAGUGGCUUACCAAGGCUUUGACGGGUAGCCGGCCUGAGAGGGUGACCGGCCACAUGGGGAGGAAGAGAGGGCCGGACCCCCACCGGGGGACAGCAGGGGGAAAUAUUGCACAAGGGGGGGAGGCCGGAUGCAGCAGCGCCGGGUGGGGGAGGGGGCCUUUGGGGUGGUAAACCUCUUUCGCCGGUGACGAGGGGGGAGGGGGGGAAAGGGAUAAAAAGACCCGGGCUAACUACGUC
rnacentral:rRNA from 1 species